rnacentral:sRNA from 1 species
GCCAGGCGUGGUGGUGCACGCCUAUAAUCCCAGCAGCUCUGGAGGCGGAGGCAGGAGGAUUGUUCAAAGCAAGCCUUAGCAAUUUAGGGAGGCCCUGAGCAACUUAAUAAGACCCUGUCUCUU